GAUGAACGCUGGCGGCGUGCCUAAUACAUGCAAGUCGAGCGAACGGACGAGAAGCUUGCUUCUCUGAUGUUAGCGGCGGACGGGUGAGUAACACGUGGAUAACCUACCUAUAAGACUGGGAUAACUUCGGGAAACCGGAGCUAAUACCGGAUAAUAUUUUGAACCGCAUGGUUCAAAAGUGAAAGACGGUCUUGCUGUCACUUAUAGAUGGAUCCGCGCUGCAUUAGCUAGUUGGUAAGGUAACGGCUUACCAAGGCAACGAUGCAUAGCCGACCUGAGAGGGUGAUCGGCCACACUGGAACUGAGACACGGUCCAGACUCCUACGGGAGGCAGCAGUAGGGAAUCUUCCGCAAUGGGCGAAAGCCUGACGGAGCAACGCCGCGUGAGUGAUGAAGGUCUUCGGAUCGUAAAACUCUGUUAUUAGGGAAGAACAUAUGUGUAAGUAACUGUGCACAUCUUGACGGUACCUAAUCAGAAAGCCACGGCUAACUACGUGCCAGCAGCCGCGGUAAUACGUAGGUGGCAAGCGUUAUCCGGAAUUAUUGGGCGUAAAGCGCGCGUAGGCGGUUUUUUAAGUCUGAUGUGAAAGCCCACGGCUCAACCGUGGAGGGUCAUUGGAAACUGGAAAACUUGAGUGCAGAAGAGGAAAGUGGAAUUCCAUGUGUAGCGGUGAAAUGCGCAGAGAUAUGGAGGAACACCAGUGGCGAAGGCGACUUUCUGGUCUGUAACUGACGCUGAUGUGCGAAAGCGUGGGGAUCAAACAGGAUUAGAUACCCUGGUAGUCCACGCCGUAAACGAUGAGUGCUAAGUGUUAGGGGGUUUCCGCCCCUUAGUGCUGCAGCUAACGCAUUAAGCACUCCGCCUGGGGAGUACGACCGCAAGGUUGAAACUCAAAGGAAUUGACGGGGACCCGCACAAGCGGUGGAGCAUGUGGUUUAAUUCGAAGCAACGCGAAGAACCGUACCAAAUCUUGACAUCCUUUGACAACUCUAGAGAUAGAGCCUUCCCCUUCGGGGGACAAAGUGACAGGUGGUGCAUGGUUGUCGUCAGCUCGUGUCGUGAGAUGUUGGGUUAAGUCCCGCAACGAGCGCAACCCUUAAGCUUAGUUGCCAUCAUUAAGUUGGGCACUCUAAGUUGACUGCCGGUGACAAACCGGAGGAAGGUGGGGAUGACGUCAAAUCAUCAUGCCCCUUAUGAUUUGGGCUACACACGUGCUACAAUGGACAAUACAAAGGGCAGCGAAACCGCGAGGUCAAGCAAAUCCCAUAAAGUUGUUCUCAGUUCGGAUUGUAGUCUGCAACUCGACUACAUGAAGCUGGAAUCGCUAGUAAUCGUAGAUCAGCAUGCUACGGUGAAUACGUUCCCGGGUCU
rnacentral:rRNA from 1 species